CCACCAUCAAUGAAAGAGAAUCCUAUUGCCAGCAUCUGGUGCUGUCAUUGCUCUGGAUUUUAGCCAUUUUAAUAAUUGCAUCAUGGCACCUCACUGUUAUUUUAAUUUGCGACUCCCUAAUGACAUAAAAUGUUGAGCAUCUUCUCAUGUUUCUUUACCAUCUGUAUAUCUUUUUUUUUUCUUGAGGUGUCCAGUUAUUUUGCCUGCUUUUUCACUGGGUUGUUUGCUUUUAUGUUGGGCAUGCACGCUCACCUGAGGGAGAAAGAGCAAGGACGGGGUUAUGGUGAGAAAUAUUGUUCUAGGUCACAUGCAUUCUAAGGCAAGAGAUGAAAGAGAGAGAGAAAGCAAGAAAUCCUCCUGCCCCAGAGGCAAUGACCAUACUGCGAUCUCUAUAUUUCAUUCUCUUGGAAUUUGGGGCAUGCAUCCACAUAUGCCUGGCACUAAAGAAGAAAACUGGGAUUUGCCUCACAUUCCUUGUGCCAGGAGCUGGAUGGGAAAAAAGAAUCUCUGCAG